GGCAAUGAUGGCUUGACGGUUAAGGCUCUGGGUUACUGACCGGGAGGUCGGGGGUUCAAGCACCGCAAGCUGCCA